GCCACAGGGGCACUUCACUUCUUUGCUCCGGCAACGGCUGUGGAAUCUUUGGACUUUAAAGAGUUGAUUUCUCUCACCACACUUUUCUCUCCCUCCCUUGCUGUAUUUAUCUCAAAAACACCAGUCUUUUCAAAGAGUGUCCCUUUCGGGCACUUAGAAGUGGGAUGGAGAGAGGUUUCUCCCCUCCUCCUUUUUCAUGUUAAAGUUCUACAAAGCAUCCUGCUGGGUUUGGCUUGUUUUCGGUUUGAUUUUAACUUUGGAGAGCCAGUUUCUGUUCUGGCUGGAAGUGCCUUGUUGGGACUCGCUUCUUCAGCAAUAACUGGCUGCUCUGAGCUGGAUUCCCUAAACAGACAUGGAUUUAUAGAAUAACUACUGUUGUAGAAGUGGGAGAAAAGAGAAAACAGUGUUGGAGAAGAAAGGAGUCAUGUCCCUGGCUGGAAGACACCAGAUAUCUUCUGUCUUGAUAUUGUUGCUACUUCUCUGUUGUGGAGAGGAAACUCAGGCUCAAAGGGCAGGUAAGUGGAGGCAUUGUUUGCAAGAGAACUGUAACAGGGGUAUAAUUUCAGAUGCACAGCUGGAUUCAAAAUACCAGGGUUCAAAAUAGCAAGUUUUAUGUAGCACUGUAAAGUGUUCCAAAUGCUGUAUAUACAUGACCAUGAAAAUACCUACAAUGCAGUGAAAAGCUGUUGAGACAUAGAUCCUUCUACACAGUCAUAUAACCCAGAAUAUCGCAGCAGAUAACCCACAAUAUCUGCUUUGAAUUGGGUUAUCUGAGUCUACACUGCCAUAUAUUCUAGUUCAAAGCAGAAAAUGUGGGAUUUUAUCCAGCUAUGUAGAAGGAGGUCUCUGUUGAUCCACUAAGAGACCUUGGAGAAUUCCAGCACAUCUUCAUCAUCAUCAUCAUCAUCAUCAUCAUCAUCAUCAUCAUCAUCAUCAUCAUCAUUAUUCUCUCCUAAGUGAGCAUGGGGUAUACAUUUUCCAUAUUUUUGGAUUUCUUUGGGAUAAUUUAAAGGCCAGAAAAAAAAUGUUCUAACAAGAAGCAACCUGAAAAUACAACAGAAAAUCUACAACAAUAGUUACUCCAGUCUUCAAUCUGUUUAUUUCACAGAGUGAACCUCUUUGAUACACUAUCAUGCAUUAUUUUUGACUUUAUUUAUAUAUUUACCCUAUUUAUACUUGCCUUUCUCUACCCUGUAGGAGACUCAAGAAUUGUCAUUACAUCUUUAGAACAUAUGCACACUGGCUUGCUUCCCCCCCCCCCCCCCCCCAGUUUUUCCUUCAAUCGCAGAUGCAUGCAUGUGAAACACCACUCUUAACAGUAUAACAUCUCUUACCUGAUUGGUUAUUUUGUGCUAUUGUUACUCCCCUUUGAUCUAUUACUGCCAUCCUCCUCUUGUUAAUUCAUGCUGCUGCACCCAUCACACACACACACACACACAGUAUCACCAAUACCAAAACUUUCCCUAUAGCCUUGUUUGGUAAAGCAGCAAUGUAGCAAAGCAGCAGAAGCACUGUUGUAUUGGAGACUUGAGCUUCUGCCACAUGUUUCCUUUGGUUGUCAGUUCUUAGGGCCUGACCCUUCUUCAAUAGUCCUCAGAUAAGGGUAGAAAUGUCUAGAUGAGGAUGCUACUUUGAAAGUUAUGGUUGGAUAGGUGUGUAUUUUCAUCAUUUAUUG
ensembl:lncRNA